rnacentral:snRNA from 1 species
AUAUCUGGCUCUUCUGCAGUUGACCGUGUAAAUCUUUCGCCUUUUACUAAAGAUUUCCGUGCAGAAGGGUAUUGACGAUUUUCGGCUACUUUUUGGGAGUCCUGCGAAGGACU